UAAAGACAAAGGCAGAUCCUAUAAAUCUAACCCACAUUCUUUUAGUGGGAAUGACUGACUUUUAUGAAAACUGAGGAUUGUAAAUCAGAAACCUAAGUGGCUUACUUUGCAGCAGAUAAACACAGACUUGUGUCGUGAUGGAGCCCCACGUUAACCCUUUCAUGGUGCCGUGGAGGACUGGGGACAUGCAGCAAUGGUGUCCUUCCUGGAGCUGGAGUCAGGAGGAGGCCGAGUGACUCACACUGGUGCGCCUCAGCUGGGGGCAGUGUAAGGCCUCAGGUGUUGGCUUGUUUCAACGGCUCCGCGACUUGAAAUGACGGAUCGGGCACAGCUGUGCUUGGAGAGGUCGCCUCUGUUGCAGCCUGGGCUUCUAAAAUCCCCAAAUCCCUGAAAAGGGGAUGGACCCUCAGCCUCAUGCGUACCAGGUUAGUACUGUACCUCUGAGGUCCUACACCCCCAGCCCUCAUCUCACCGGACCACUGAUGCUGGACAUGUUAACUGCAUGGGCUGCCCCCCGCCAGGCGCCCAGCCCUACUACGGCCCACCAAAUGGACUCUCAGACCACAUGGGUGUAUUAAU